AGCGAACGCUGGCGGCAGGCUUAACACAUGCAAGUCGAACGGGCACUUCGGUGUCAGUGGCAGACGGGUGAGUAACGCGUGGGAACAUACCUCUUGGUUCGGAACAACACAGGGAAACUUGUGCUAAUACCGGAUAAGCCCUUACGGGGAAAGAUUUAUCGCCGAGAGAUUGGCCCGCGUCUGAUUAGCUAGUUGGUGUGGUAAAAGCGCACCAAGGCGACGAUCAGUAGCUGGCUGAGAGGAUGAUCAGCCACAUUGGGACUGAGACACGGCCCAAACUCCUACGGGAGGCAGCAGUGGGGAAUAUUGGACAAUGGGCGCAAGCCUGAUCCAGCCAUGCCGCGUGAGUGAUGAAGGCCCUAGGGUUGUAAGGCUCUUUUG
rnacentral:rRNA from 1 species